rnacentral:misc_RNA from 1 species
CAUGAAUCAAGUUGGAACUUCAAAGCCUGCGGAUAGAGGGCCUUGGAUGUCUGGCCCUCCAGAAAAUCCUACACUUCCACAGCAACUAUCCGGACCACCACCAAUACCAUCAGUCCCUAGUCAGAUGGGCCCUAAUAAUCAACCUCGUCCUGCACCACCGUUGAGUCAGGAGAUGGAGAAGAUGUUACUUCAACAAGUCAUGAGUCUCACACCAG